AUUGAACGCUGGCGGAAUGCUUUACACAUGCAAGUCGAACGGUAGAGGGGGCAACCCCUCGAGAGUGGCGAACGGGUGAGUAAUAUAUCGGAACGUGCCCAGGCGUGGGGGAUAACGUAGCGAAAGUUAAGCUAAUACCGCAUACGAUCUAAGGAUGAAAGCGGGGGAUCGCAAGGCCUCGCGCGAUUCGAGCGGCCGAUAUCAGAUUAGGUAGUUGGUGGGGUAAAGGCUCACCAAGCCAACGAUCUGUAGCUGGUCUGAGAGGACGACCAGCCACACUGGAACUGAGACACGGUCCAGACUCCUACGGGAGGCAGCAGUGGGGAAUUUUGGACAAUGGACGCAAGUCUGAUCCAGCCAUUCCGCGUGCAGGAUGAAGGCCCUCGGGUUGUAAACUGCUUUUGUACGGAACGAAAAGGUCUCUCUUAAUACGGGGGACUCAUGACGGUACCGUAAGAAUAAGCACCGGCUAACUACGUGCCAGCCGCCGCAGUAAAAC
rnacentral:rRNA from 1 species